GAUGAACGCUGGCGGCGUGCUUAACACAUGCAAGUCGAACGGAAAGGCCCUGCUUUUGUGGGGUGCUCGAGUGGCGAACGGGUGAGUAACACGUGAGUAACCUGCCCUUGACUUUGGGAUAACUUCAGGAAACUGGGGCUAAUACCGGAUAGGAGCUCCUGCUGCAUGGUGGGGGUUGGAAAGUUUCGGCGGUUGGGGAUGGACUCGCGGCUUAUCAGCUUGUUGGUGGGGUAGUGGCUUACCAAGGCUUUGACGGGUAGCCGGCCUGAGAGGGUGACCGGCCACAUUGGGACUGAGAUACGGCCCAGACUCCUACGGGAGGCAGCAGUGGGGAAUAUUGCACAAUGGGCGGAAGCCUGAUGCAGUAACGCCGCGUGCGGGAUGACGGCCUUCGGGUUGUAAACCGCUUUCGCCUGUGACGAAGCGUGAGUGACGGUAAUGGGUAAAGAAGCACCGGCUAACUACGUG
rnacentral:rRNA from 1 species